rnacentral:rRNA from 1 species
GACAAACGCUGGCGGCGUGCUUAACACAUGCAAGUCGAACGGGUUACCUUCGGGUAGCUAGUGGCGGACGGGUGAGUAACACGUAGUUGACCUGCCCUAUCGUGGGGAAGUAACGUCUCGAAAGAGGUGCUAAUACCGCAUAAGUUCACACAUGUUGGUGUGUGAGGAAAGCUCGGUUUAUACCUGGCGCGAUAGGAGGGGACUGCGGCGGAUUAGCUAGAUGGUGGGGUAAGUGGGCCACCGACUAGGCGACGGAUCCGUAGCCUGGUCUGAGAGGAUGAUCAGCCAC